rnacentral:rRNA from 1 species
CCUACGGGUGGCAGCAGUGAGGAAUAUUGGGCAAUGGGCGAGAGCCUGAACCAGCCAAGUCGCGUGAGGGAGUACUGCCCUAUGGGUUGUAAACCUCUUUUGUCGGGGAGAAAAAGCCGGACGUGUCCGGCUGUUAGAGUACCCGAAGAAAAAGAAUCGGCUAACUCCGUGCCAGCAGCCGCGGUAGUACGGAGGAUGCGAGCGUGAGCGGGGUUUAUUGGGUUUAAAGGGGGCGCAGGCGGAUUUUUAAGUCUGAGGUCAAAGCGUGGGGCUCACCCCCAGCCAGCCGUUGAAACUGGGGGUCUAGAGUGUGGGAGAGGUAUGCGGAAUGCGUGGUGUAGCGGUGAAAUGCAUAGAUAUCACGCAGAACCCCGAUUGCGAAGGCAGCAUACCGGUGCACAACUGACGCUCAGGCACGAAAGCGUGGGUAUCGAACAGGAUUAGAUACCCCAGUAGUC